GUAAAGAGAGUUCUUGAAAAAUUGUAUGAGAAUAAGAAAAUUGCAAGUGCUACCCACAACAUAUAUGCAUACAGAAUAUACUGUGAAGAUAAGCAGACAUUCUUACAGGAUUGUGAAGAUGAUGGGGAGACAGCAGCAGGUGGACAUCUUCUUCAUCUUAUGCAGAUUUUGAACGUCCACAGUGUGUUAGUUGUGGUAUCCCGCUGGUACGGAGGUAUUCUCUUAGGACCAGAUCGUUUUAAACAUAUAAAUAAUUGUGCAAGAAAUAUACUUGUGGAAUACAACUACGUACAUUCAGUGGAAGAAUCGCCUAAACAAGCAGGAAAGAGCAAAAAAAUAAGGAAGGAGAACAAGAAGAGAACAGAACACUAAUUUAUUUUUAAAAGCUGUAAAAGAUUUUGCACAUAUUUAUACAAACAAAACAUGGACAUUCUUGCCUUAUCCAAUACAACAGACAUUUUGUAUUCAAAAGAGAAUUCAGUAAAGCUAUACAUAUAUUUU